UACGUAGGGUGCGAGCGUUGUCCGGAAUUAUUGGGCGUAAAGAGCUCGUAGGCGGUGUGUCGCGUCGGUCGUGAAAACUUGGGGCUUAACCCUGAGCUUGCGGUCGAUACGGGCAUCACUGGAGUUCGGCAGGGGAGACUGGAAUUCCUGGUGUAGCGGUGAAAUGCGCAGAUAUCAGGAAGAACACCGAUGGCGAAGGCAGCUCUCUGGGACGGUACUGACGCUGAGACGCGAAAGCGUGGGGAGCGAACAGG
rnacentral:rRNA from 1 species